rnacentral:other from 1 species
GCAUACUUAGUAAUUAGCACUUCCUUACUCGUUAAAGAAUCUAACUCUUAAGUAUGAUGUUGUGUUUGCAUAUUGUUCGGAAAUCCGAACCAAGUAACCUAGGUUACUUAUUUCACUUCCUGUAUAUAUUAACCUCUAGUUAGGUUAUUCACGCCACUCUAAAUUGGGUGGUGUUUUUUU